AGCAGCCGCGGUAAUUCCAGCUCCAAUAGCGUAUAUUAAAGUUGUUGCAGUUAAAAAGCUCGUAGUUGAAUUUCGGGAUCAAUAUGUCGGUCGUGCCUUCGGUACGUACUGGUAUCAUUGGUCUCUCCUUUCUGACGAACCAUGAUGUCAUUAAUUUGGUGUUAUGGGGAGUUAGGACUGUUACUUUGAAAAAUUAGAGUGUUUAAAGCAGGCUUUAGCUUGAAUACAUUAGCAUGGAAUAAUGAAAUAGGACGUUCGAACCUAUUUUGUUGGUUUCUAGGAUCAACGUAAUGAUUAAUGGGGAUAGUUGGGGCAUUAGUAUUCAAUUGUCAGAGGUGAAAUUCUUGGAUUUAUUGAAGACUACCUACUGCGGAAGCAUUUGCCAAGGAUGUUUUCAUUAAUCAAGAACGAAAGUUAGGGGAUCGAAGACGAUCAGAUACCGUCGUAGUCUUAACC
rnacentral:rRNA from 1 species